rnacentral:lncRNA from 1 species
CCUCACUCUGAUAGACAGCGAUUUCCUCCAGCCUUUCCCUCUCAUCACUGCUGCAACAUUGAUGCUUCUAUUCAAUCUGUUUCCUAAAGGAGCCAUGCAAUCAUUUGUUCCCAGAUUGUAUUUGACACCAGUCAGAGUUGACGAAGCAGAGUCUCAAAGAAAGGCAAAGUCACGUCAUGCUCGACAAACCCGGAGGUGCACACAGGGUGUGACCCUUGGUGACCUGAGGGAAGCCCUGAAGAUCAAUCAUCUCUCUCCUCAGGAGGAGCGAGGAGGUCCCAAACACAGCUUUACAGACGACAGAAGAGAAAAGAACAGCUUGACAGAGUUCACGGAAGAUAGUGAGAUCAAUUCAAAGAGGAGUGACAAAGACAAGGAGGGUAACACUGUGUCAAGGAGAGAGACUUUGACUGAGUCUCCAAACCUGCCAUUUCAUUCUCUGCUUGGAUCUAACAGCACCAUCAGAGGUAGGAAGAACACUGAAGAUCUUUAUAAACCUUCAAAAGAUUACAUAGACUAUUUUUAUAUCUCUAUUAAAUCCAAUAACAAUAUGU